GAUGAACGCUGGCGGCGUGCCUAAUACAUGCCAGUCGAGCGAACAGACGAGGAGCUUGCUCCUCUGACGUUAGCGGCGGACGGGUGAGUAACACGUGGAUAACCUACCUAUAAGACUGGGAUAACUUCGGGAAACCGGAGCUAAUACCGGAUAAUAUAUUGAACCGCAUGGUUCAAUAGUGGAAGACGGUUUUGCUGUCACUUAUAGAUGGAUCCGCGCCGCAUUAGCUAGUUGGUAAGGUAACGGCUUACCAAGGCAACGAUGCGUAGCCGACCUGAGAGGGUGAUCGGCCACACUGGAACUGAGACACGGUCCAGACUCCUACGGGGGGCAGCAGUAGGGAAUCUUCCGCAAUGGGCGAAAGCCUGACGGAGCAACGCCGCGUGAGUGAUGAAGGUCUUCGGAUCGUAAAACUCUGUUAUUAGGGAAGAACAAAUGUGUAAGUAACUAUGCGCGUCUUGACGGUACCUAAUCAGAAAGCCACGGCUAACUACGUG
rnacentral:rRNA from 1 species